rnacentral:lncRNA from 12 species
AUGUACACAGAAUUAUGUAAUAAAAAUCUUUAUUAUAUAGGGCACACUUUGACAUUCCUUUUUCUUUUUUCAUUGCAGCCCUCAUGUUCCAGAUCAUUCCUUUUCCAGAAACUUGAUUUGAAAGGGAGAAUAAAUUCUUCAAGCAGUAUCCAUGCAAAAACGUUCUCUGAAGUAUAUACCACGGAGUCAUGUUCCUUUGCAUGAAGUAGCACUACACAGAGUCAUUCCUUUUGAGGUGAGAAACAUGGAUUUUUUUUUCCCUGAAAAAAAAAUUGUGGAAUCAAUUUCUGGAUGGAAUUUAAAACUAAGAUGAUAUAAGUAUAGUUUUUCAAAGAUAAAUCUAAACAAGACUGACUACAAUACAAUCUAGAUUAAUUUUAAAGUUUAUCUCAG